rnacentral:rRNA from 1 species
UGGGGAAUAUUGCACAAUGGGCGCAAGCCUGAUGCAGCCAUGCCGCGUGUAUGAAGAAGGCCUUCGGGUUGUAAAGUACUUUCAGCGGGGAGGAAGGGAGUAAAGUUAAUACCUUUGCUCAUUGACGUUACCCGCAGAAGAAGCACCGGCUAACUCCGUGCCAGCAGCCGCGGUAAUACGGAGGGUGCAAACGUUAAUCGGAAUUACUGGGCGUAAAGCGCACGCAGGCGGUUUGUUAAGUCAGAUGUGAAAUCCCCGGGCUCAACCUGGGAACUGCAUCUGAUACUGGCAAGCUUGAGUCUCGUAGAGGGGGGUAGAAUUCCAGGUGUAGCGGUGAAAUGCGUAGAGAUCUGGAGGAAUACCGGUGGCGAAGGCGGCCCCCUGGACGAAGAUUGACGCUCAGGUGCGAAAGCGUGGGGAGCAAACAGG